UUUUAUAUUGAGUUCAUGAAUAUUCAAAAGGUUCUUACUUUAAAUUACGUAUUUGAUUGGUCAUUGUGAUUUCGCGGUCAAUUUAUAUUUUGUAUUGACCAGGGAUAAUUUGCACGGGAACUUGAAAAUUACAGUCGCAUUAUAUUGUAUCCCGAUUUAUAUAACUGUGUUAUGGUUUUAAUUCAUUGUGGACACAACCUAUUACCUGAUUAUUGUAAGUUAACUUCUUUAUUAUAUUAUUAAUAUUUUCACAUGAUAAAAUUUAGGAAAGUUUCUGUUGUAUGAUUUCGUUCUCCUUGUAAAGUUUGUUUAUUACAUAAGUAUGAUAGAUGUAGCCUAGAAUAUUUUAUUUAGCUUCGUGCUACCGGUAUUUUAUUAUCUACCGUUAAUUUGUCACGAUAGAACAUAGAACAAUAUAUUUGCUUAGCUAUUUGAUUAUUGACACAGAUAAUUUAUAUUUCAUAAAUGGCGGCAUAUUAGACAAAAUAAGGAAAAGUGUUAAAGUUGAUAUUUAUUAGUACACUUAUAUUAUACAUUGAAAUGAUAGAAGUCUAGCUAUGAAUGAACUUGAGUUAUUUUGUCAUAUUGUAUAUUUUAAUAUUUUACUAGUCCGAAUAUUUAUGAUUGCAUUUUGGUUUUAGGACUCCAUUGAUGUAAUUAUAUAAAGAAUGUAUUAGUGAACUGUGCCUUGUCCUUGCCAGUAAAAACUCACUCCACAAGUGGUAAGAGUCAAUCUAUUUUUAACUAUGUAAUGUUGUAAACAAGACGUUAUGGAUUAUUUCCCUUUAAAUAUGUGGUUUUAAGCAUAUUUAAUAUAUUGGCUUAAUUAGUCUUUAUGAAAAUAGUAUUUACAAUUCGACGUAAUUGUAUGUAAAGAACAAACAAUAUAUUAUGUUCCGAUCAGUUUAAUGUUACAUUUGCAGUUUUAACUUUAGUUUUGUACCGUACACAUAGUAAACCAGUAAACACUAUAUAGUAUAUUAUUUACGAUGAAGGGUUACAUUCUUAUGUAGUGUAUCACAAUGUGAAUUAUGUGUAAUGUGUAAUUUAAGAUACUUGUGUUUUAUAAUAGAUCUGUUAUUUAUUAUUGUGAUAUUGUUAUUUCAGAGUUUAUUUUUAUACUACUGGUAUAAUAAAUCAUCCGAACCCUAAACAGAGUUUAUUAUUACUUGACCCAAGAAUCGACCCUGUUACAAAAUGGCGCCCAACGUAGUUUGAUGGAUUUGAUGGCACAGUCGAAUUAGGGUACCAGUGUGUGUGUGUGUGUGACCACCGAAGCAGACGACAGACGAGACCACGUGAUGUUUGUUUACCAACAAUGCGCAGAUGUCCGAAGAUGCACGUGCCAUUGUUUACAUCCGUUGAUGUCCACAUGUGUUUAUUUACAUUAACAUUUUAUACCGUGUUCCAGUUAUGAAGAUUUGUGAAACCGGAAGUUACUUUUAGUAACUUAGACUUUUUGAUUUUC
rnacentral:lncRNA from 1 species